UACGUAGGGCGCAAGCGUUGUCCGGAAUUAUUGGGCGUAAAGAGCUCGUAGGCGGUCUGUCGCGUCGGAUGUGAAAGCCCGGGGGCUUAACCCCGGGUCUGCAUUCGAUACGGGCAGACUAGAGUGUGGUAGGGGAGAUCGAAUUCCUGGUGUAGCGGUGAAAUGCGCAGAUAUCAGGAGGAACACCGGUGGCGAAGGCGGAUCUCUGGGCCAUUACUGACGCUGAGGAGCGAAAGCGUGGGGAGCGAACAGG
rnacentral:rRNA from 1 species